rnacentral:lncRNA from 1 species
AGGGAAAAUGCGGUUUGGGGAGGAAGGGUCUGAUAAACAAGGUGGAGACAGGAGCUGUCACCUUCCCUGGCUGCCUGUCCACUUCCUGCCCAUAACUGCCCUCUCUGUGAUCGGAUAGAGCCCACCCCAGGAUAGCAGCCCUCUCCCAAGCCACCUACCCAUCCCCAUUUCCCAGGAAGGGUAGGGGUUGGGGGUGGCCGGCAAUUCGAUUUUAAUUUCAUAGCAGAGCAGUUGAUUCAUGGCUCUUUGUCGCUGGCGUUGACUCCCGUAAUGACUUUCCAUCAAAAUGAAAAGUGGAGUGACACCACUCAUUAUUCCUGCUGCUUGUUAUCUCAGUUCUGGGGAGGGCCGCCCCCUCCCUGCUGCCUUUCAGCCGUCCUGGACAGUGAGUGAUGGCGCCUAUUAAUCACCGACCCCGCGGACUCCAGCGGACACACGCUAUCCAAAGGAGAGAGAGAUAAGGCAGCAUGAACUGCUCGAAGCCGUUCCUAUCAAUUAAUGCCAACCCACCACUUCCCCCCAGUCUUUGCCUGGUCACCUCUUUCUGGGGGAUCAGGGGCCGAAAUGAGAAGUCCAGGAAUUGGGAAAAUAUUGGUGUUGAAUGUGGAAGUAAGACUCCGCAGACCACCAGGGUAUAGAGGAGCUAAGUGGACUGCACUCUGGCCUCAGCGCUCAGGAGGGAUGCACUUGGCUUAGGGAACUGCCUGCUGCUCUUGGUCCCUCUCCCUCUGGGAGAUUGCCUGCUAGCUCCUGCCGCACCUGUUCAGCUGCUGGCUCCGAUGGCCGUCUGGCCAGCCUCUUGCAGUAGCAGUCAGUUCACUGAGGCAUGCUACGCUUGCCCACCCUAAUGUCCUUUGCCCAGUCACCAGCUGUUACGCAGACUCCAUUGCUUACAGCAAUGGAGCUUCAGGGAGAAGCCCCGUGGACCAGGUGACCGUGGCAGACCGGGUUCAGGCCUCCAAAGCUUCUGCCCCUGCCGUUGCAGAUGAGCACCUGACCUGCUUUCCCAGCCCUGCCUAAGGUCAGCGAGGGGAAGCAGUACUCACCGAGGUUUGGCUAUUUUCCCAGGAAGGGAAGUGGGUUUAGAUAGAGUUUUCUCAGCUGAUUUUGGCCCCCUUGGUAAGCAGUGUGGUUAGGCGACUGCUCUGGAUCAGAGAUACUAGGUGACUGCUUAACAGGUGACAUCAAGGCCCACCCUGAUCCCCAGGCUGAGGCAAGUGGUUUCGUAAAAGCCUUUAACCCGAUAACAUUGGGUUUGUUCUCCAGAACCUUCAGCCUCCCUUUCCUUUACCCCUGCCUGCUUCCUGAGUCCAGCCCUCCUGGCCAUGCUGAAAACACUGAAGGGAUCCACCUGGCUGGUUCUCCCUGGCAAGAGCAGCUCUGUGUCUUUCAGGUCUGCCUCCAACUUCCCUUAGCUUCUCUGGUUGUAUUUGGGUUCCUGCUUGUGUAUCUCAGAAUGCCCUCAGAAGUCGUUGUAGGGACAGAAUGAGUUAAGAUAUGCAGAGCUCUUAGAACGCUGCCUGGUGCGGAGGAGGCUCUUGCUGGACAUGUGUGAGCUCUUAUUUUUGGUUUGGGGAACCAUGAUGAGGACUCUCCAUCCUGGCCUAACUUGUCUUCUUGGAAAGGAGAGGUGAGGGGCUUUAGGGGAGCUUGAGACCAAGUUUCAAGCAGUCAGGUUGAAACUUCCCUCUUUCAGGGAAAGAGGGAAGCGGUGCACCAAGAUUACACCCUCAGAAUCCUUAGUUUGGUGUGAAUUAUGCUGCCAAGAGCACACUAUACUUUUGUGUUGACUUUUAUCCCACCUCUUUCCAGAGAGGAUUUAAGGCAACGCCUCUCACUACUUGGCUAGGACUCCUCACCCGGCUUCAGAUAAGGAAGCAGGGAGUCACCUUUCCAAAAUUCUCUGCUUGCUAAAUCCAGCCACAGCUCAGCCCCACUCACUGCUCUCUGCCCAAACACUGCCUCUCUCCCUGCGUCAGUUCUACCGUGUCCUCUCUGGUGUGGUUCUCUUUAUAGACCACAAAAGUAGGAUCCCUUUGCACUGCAGCCUGCAGUGGCUGACUGUGAACAUGGGAUAAGUGGAGUGCUAAGGCUCAUUCAUCUGGGUCCCAGCAGUCCACCCCCUGUGCCCCUCUGAGGGCCUGCCAGUAUCAUGGGGAGUCUGGCACAUCUAGAACUCUUCCCAUUGCCAGUUCAGAGCAGGGAACAAGCUGCAUCAUUCAGAGUGAACAUCUCCUCACCCAUCUAAAGAAUUAACCUGUUCUGGAGACCUGGCCUGGAGUUGAGGACAAAAGAAAGGCACAUCCCCAGCCUUUGGGAGCAGAAGCCAACCUUGCUGGAGCUCCUCACAUGUACCUCCCAACCACCAUUAAUUCCCGCAGAUGUUGUGUACAGUUUCUCCCCAGAAACCCAGGUCCUGUGGCUCUUCUCUGCUUUUUCAUACACUCCUACCUGUCCUGUUAAUGAUUUUUAUUUCAUCUUUUUUUAAAACUUAUUAUUUUUGAGACAGUUUUGCUUGUCACCCAGGCUGGAGUACACUGGCGCGAUCUCGGCUCACUGCAACCUCUGCCUCCCGGGUUCAAGCGAUUCUCCUGCCUCAGCCUCCCAAGUAGCUGGGAUUACAGGUGCAGUAGAGACUGGGUUUCACAGUGUUGGCCAGGCUGGUCUCGAACUCCUGACCUCAGGUGAUCCACCCACCUCGGCCUCCCAAAGUGUUGGUAUUACAGGCAUGAACCACCACGCCUGGCCUAAACUUAUUUAUUUAUUUUUUUUGAGACAGAGCCUCACUCUGUCACCCAGGCUGGAGUGUAGUGGCAUGAUCUAAGCUCACUGCAACCUCUGCCACCCAGGUUCAAGCAAUUCUCCUGCCUCAACUUCCCGAGUAGCUGAGAUUAGGGGCAGUUGCCACCACACCCAACUAAUUUUUGUAUUUUUAGUAGAGACAGGGUUUUGCCAUAUUGGUCAGGCUGGUGUUGAACUCCUGACAGGCGUGAGCCACUGCGCCCGGCUGCCUAAACUUAUUUUUUAAUAGAGACAGGGUCUCACUAUGUUUUCCAGGCUGAUCUCAAACUCCUGGCCUCAAGGGAUCCUCCUGCCUCAGUCUCCCAAAGUGCUGGGAUUACAGGUGUGAGCCACCUCAUCAGGCCUAUUUAAUCUAAUUGCCACUUGUUUGAUCUCUUUCCCAACUCCUGUACAUGCACAUACAAAAUCUAAUAAAAGUGAUAGGAAGA